GAGGGUAGGUUGGUCCCUCGGUAUCGGCUUUAAGGAGCAGGCCUCAAACCACCCCAAGGUGCUGCGGUCAAGAGCCGUGGUGGUGAGCGUUGGGGCAAUAGUCCGAGAAAUACCUUGGGCAGGU
rfam:Propionivibrio sp. S1 isolate 2 genome assembly, contig: PROAA_Contig_13